rnacentral:rRNA from 1 species
AUUGAACGCUGGCGGCAUGCUUUACACAUGCAAGUCGAACGGUAACAGGUUAAGCUGACGAGUGGCGAACGGGUGAGUAAUGCAUCGGAACGUGCCCGAUCGUGGGGGAUAACGCAGCGAAAGCUGCGCUAAUACCGCAUACGAUCUGAGGAUGAAAGCGGGGGACGGUAAGGCCUCGCGCGAUCGGAGCGGCCGAUGUCAGAUUAGGUAGUUGGUGGGGUAAAGGCUCACCAAGCCGACGAUCUGUAGCCGGUCUGAGAGGACGACCAGCCCACCUAGGACUGAGACCCGGCCCAGACUCCUCCUGGAGGCAGCAGUGGGGAAUUUUGGACAAUGGGCGAAAGCCUGAUCCAGCAAUGCCGCGUGCAGGAAGAAGGCCUUCGGGUUGUAAACUGCUUUUGUACGGAGCGAAAAGGCUCUCUCUAAUACAGGGGGCUCAUGACGGUACCGUAAGAAUAAGCACCGGCUAACUACGUGCCAGCCGCCGCCGUAA